AAAAUUUUAAAAUUACAUUGUUAUUGUUAUUGUAUCAGUUGAUAGAUCAUUGUAAUGAAAUGAAUAGAACCUCCAUUCAGAUGUAAUGUGUGAGCUGCAUUUUGAAAUAGUAAUACUUUAAUGUUAAGUUGUGUCAUUUUGAACCGGUGAUUUUAGUUCAAUUAACAAAAGAUCUUUGGUUCAUGUGUAUUCUAUCAAAGCAUUUGGAAAAAAGUGUUAAGUGUUUUGAAAAAUGUGUAUUUUGAUCAUGGGUUGUGAAUUAUGUGUCUAGACUUUUGAAAAAUGACAUGAAGGUUCUGUUAUUAAUGCAAAAUUUAUUGUAAAAAAAAACUGUAAGACCUCUUAAAUCUAUUCUCAAUCUGACAUAAAUUACAACAUCCUUCACUUCUUCAAUAGAUUUUCUAUUGCUGUUAAAAUGAGCUCUGUUGGUUGUAAUGGGCAGAAGUUAUACUGCAGUUUCCGGUGAGACACUGUGACUCCACCACAACUGAAACAACAGGUCACUCGUAUCUGGGUUGCUGUUUAGUCUCAUGAAAAACUAUUUAAGGUAAACUAUUACAUUUGUUUUGUGUUAUAUUUGUUAUUUUUUUUUAAGUCUAAUUAUAGCACAUUUGUAUUGCAGCUGCUUGGUGUCAGUCAGUUCUGAAAGUAUCGGUCCCCAGAACCCUGAUCAGCACCAGCGGCUCUUGCCUUCUGAUUCCCUGCCUAUUCAACAUUUCAAAGGAGAAAGAAAACAUUCUUGAAAGUUCACCAGUACUAAAAUGGAGGCAAAGUUUUACCAGCGCUCACCAUCAGAUGGAUCCUGUGAUGGAUAUGGUGGGUGACCUACGAAAGAAGAACUGCACUUCUGUCAUGAGAAACCUCAGCAGCCAGCAUUCAGAUCCUUACUUCUUCAGGAUUGAAACUAAGACCUCCACUAUGACUGAAACAACAGCUCUGUAUAUAAAUGUAUCAGUCGCUAGGAGCCUGCUGAUGUGAAAGAUCUAUAUUGCAGCAUUAUCUGAACUUAGACAUACCAGAUCCGGAACAACAACCGUCUACAAACCCAGUUCAAAUGAAAAAAUGAUGCCAUUCUACUCUGGAGGAGAGUAAAGAGAGGCUGGAGUCGGCUUUAUGGUGGACAACCAGACAAGAAGGAGUGUACUGACCUUCCAGCCAAUAUCAAACUGCCUGGCUGUACUAACCAUCCACGGUACUAUCCAAAUGCACCUUCUAGCCAUUAGAAGAUGAGGUCAAAGGUGAUUUCUAUGACCAAUUGCAAUGCAUGCUGGACUUGAUCCCGAGGACCGAGUUGAUCAUCCUAGUGGCAGGGGGAUGUUUAGAGCAUUUUAAAUGGGGGGGGGGGGGGGGGCUUUCUAGUCUAUAAGCCAUUUAAAAUGUAUAACUUUGUUUUUCGGCUACACACACAUUGCACAGUUUCCACCCCUUACCAAAAAGAAGUAUACUUCGACUUUAUUUUAUUAAGUAUACUUAAGUAAAGUUAUAGUAUAUUUUUAAGUAUACUUUAUGAAGUAGGUAUACAAAUAUCAGUGUAC
ensembl:lncRNA